AACGAACGCUGGCGGCAUGCCUAACACAUGCAAGUCGAACGAGACCUUCGGGUCUAGUGGCGCACGGGUGCGUAACGCGUGGGAACCUGCCCUUAGGUUCGGAAUAACUCCCCGAAAGGGGUGCUAAUACCGGAUAAUGUCUUCGGACCAAAGAUUUAUCGCCUUUGGAUGGGCCCGCGUUGGGUUAGCUAGUUGGUAGGGUAAAAGCCUACCAAGGCGGCGAUCCAUAGCUGGUGUGAGAGGAUGAUCAGCCACACUGGGACAGAGACACGGCCCAUACUCGAGCGGGAGGGGGGAAGUGGGAAAAAUUGGGCGGGGGCGAAAGCCAGAACCGCCAAGUGCGGGUUGAGGGUGAAGGGCUUGGGAUUGGAAAGCCCCUUUGACGGGGAGUGAAAGGCGGUAACCGGGAAAAAAGGACCGGGUAAACUCGUG
rnacentral:rRNA from 1 species